AACUGCGUGGUCUAGCGGUUAUGAUUUCUCGUUCACAGAUAUGUGUUGUUUUCCGAGAAGGUCCUGGGUUCGACCCCCAGCGCGGUUA
rnacentral:tRNA from 1 species